UCGAUUCCCCGACUGGGUGUAGCACGUGACCUCUCCCUUAAAGGACUCCACUGCACCUGCCACGUCGGCGCGGUAGUUGACCCGGCCCUUCGCGGCGAGCGGUUGUCCCACCGUUCCCUGCGCGUUGAAGCUCAGGUCGACCCUGCCCUCCGGGCCGACGGCGUGGGCUCCUCCCGUCGCCUUCGGGCCGCCCCCAGCGGCCUCGGCUGCCCCGACAGACAGAGCCGCGAGCACCACAGCCGACAUCACACUUACUGCACGACGCACUUCUGAACCCCCGAAUUUUCAGUAGGUACGCGACGUCGGUCGCGUGACGGCCGCAUCCCGAGGGCCGUCACAGCCCUCAACUUCUGACUGCCCCUCCGG
rnacentral:misc_RNA from 1 species